GCAUACACUGCAAAGAGCAUGCUUUCACCUUUAGGAUUGUCUGUGCUUCUUGAAGUCACCCUGGAUUAUUCUUUUGGAUAACGCAGAGUGAAGAAAGAAAAUUUUACGUGUGUUCUCCUCUCACAGCUGCUGACAGGAUUUUUGGUAUAUGGCAUAUCCUGUCUCUGCUGAAGGAUGUCCCACAUGAGAAUGACCUAGAGUCGUUACCAGUGAUAAGGUGACAGCGUGAGUGACUGACUGCGUUAUGAAAGCCAAUCUCCUCAAACGCGGGUACGGGAGAUUUGUGCUGUGGAUGCCUCUGAGGCGGUUGCUGCGAUGAAGGCGAUUCCUGGCAGAACGGUGGCAUUUUCUGUCACAAAAGAGCAAAACGGCGAGGGCGAGCAAACAGUUGUAAAAACUGUGCAGCCAAAUGGGAGCACGCCUUUUACUCAUUAUCUGCCACAUGUUCUCUGCAAGCAGAAUAUACGGCCUCUAGAGGGUGCUGUGGAGAAAGAAUUUUAAGCGGUGCAGACAGUACUCUUAACUAAACUGUGCUUGCCUUGCUACCAGUGUUGGAUCUAAAUGGAUGAAGCUUGGUUUGUACGUCUGCCUUUGCGACGGCACUACUGUGUGAAAACAAAUCUGUAAACAGAUCCUCUGCUUGCACAGUUUGACACUGUUUUGAGAUUCUCUCCAGAUGUGAACCCCGGAAGAUCCAGAAACAAAAAAAAAAG
ensembl:lncRNA